GCUUGCGAUUCUGCUGUCUUAACAUUUCAGUCUGAGUGUUGAUUGCUCUACAUACUCCAUCCAACAUCGCAGGAAGCUUUGGAACGCUAUGAACAGCCACCCACGUUUUGCGAAUCACUCGAUAAGCCAGGUCCCGAGGAAACACAGGAACCAGGUACAAAGUAACAGACAAACAGGAGCACCCAGCAAAGAAGGAAUGGAAACCAGGUGUUAUACAGCGGAGAUGUAAUGACUUAAAUGUAAACCAGGGGAGACAAGCGCGCUGAUGUCUCUUUGCUGGCAAACAGACAUAAACUCUUCAACUGGAUCCAAG